CUCCUGGGUUCAGUUUCCACCCGAAGGACGAGGAGCUCGUUCGCUACCAAACCCUUUUAAGUUCGACGCUAUCUCCGUCACAAAUCCGAGCCCUCGGAUCUUCCAGGUUAUUUUUUUCUUUAUUAAUUCUCCCUCGAAUUGGUUACAAUGAUCUUGUUUUGAUUUGAUUGAUUUUGAGUUUGUUUUGGGGAUUAUAAUGGUUCGAGGGCCGUGUGGAUGAAGAAGACCCUUUUGUUUAUCACAGGGAUCGAGCUCCUCGUGGUGAAUGAACCAACUAGGUUAUGCAUAAGUGAGAAUCGCCUUACUGAUGAAGAGUUGAAGAUUGCUGGUGUGCCACAAGUAACAUCAAUUGGGUGUAGGAUGCGUUGGUGCUAUGUAGGAUAUUCCAGAAAAGCCGUGCAGGGCCUAAUAAUGGAGAGCAGUACGGUGCUCCUUAUCUUGAAGAGGAGUGGGAAGAGGAUAAGAUUACAUUUGUACCCGAACAAGAUGCUCUCUGUGAAGGAUUGGUUGUUGAUGAUGAUAAAGACAAGUCAACCAUUUCACACUCGUGGGAAUGGUCAAGAGACUGGAACUGGGACUUUAUUGGACAAUUCUCAUUGUCAGUUCAUCCCUUAAUCAUUGGUGUUACUGGACUUUUGCUUCUUGAGAGGUACCAUCAGUUACCUCAGAUGGUAAUAACUUUUCUUUGUGGGGAAGUGGAGAGUGGUGGAUGCUUCAUGCAGCUCAGAGCAUGGCUAUUGGUACUGUGAUGGUUCGAUGGGUCUCAAAGCACUCGGAUCCAAUUAUGGCAACCGGCUGGUAGGUCUUGUGUGUACUCAGUUGGAGCGUGAAGUUGGUUGCAGUUGUUUGGGACUUGGGAGGCAAUCUAUUUUCUAUGGGUUAUUUGUCGACCCACUUGUAUUUGGUUUCUAGAGUAACUUGAGCUCAUGGGAGAGGACAACAGUACCUAGGUGAUCGAUAUACAUACUAUCUGUACCUGUCUAUAGAGACAUUUUGUAGGUCUUCCUUGAAAAUUCUUCAGGCUUGCCUGCCUUGACAAUAUAGUUCAUUAUUGUAUUUUGCAUGUGUUCAUAUCAGACAAUUAUUUUCGGUGAA